rnacentral:lncRNA from 13 species
AUAUAUUAUGGUUUUAGAGCCUGCAAUCUCCAAAGAAAAAGCCAAGACAAGCACUACCAAGACGACCACAAGCACUUCCAAGAAAGAAGCUGUGGUCUCCAAAGAAAAGACAAAACCUAUCACAAUGAAGAAAGAGGUUGUUGUUUCCAAAGAUAAAGCUAAAACAACAGCUGCCAAGAAAGAGCCUGUGGCAAAGGACAAAUUAACUCCUACGAAGAAAGAGCCUGCAAUCUACAAAGAAAAAGUCAAGACAAGCACUACCAAGACAACCACAAGCACUUCCAAGAAAGUUGUUUCAGAACCUGAGCCCCUAAAAGAGAAAGCCACUCCAAGAGUCCCCACUAUGAGGAAAGGGAACCACACAAAUGUAGUGGUGCCAAUGGUAAAAGCCAUGGCUAGAGUUGUCGCUAUAAGACCCAUCCCUACACCAAAAGUGACGGAGGAGAAGCUAUCCAAAGAACCUGAGACAGAGAAACCAAAAGCGGCAGAGAAAAAAGAUGAUGUUGUUUCCAAAGAUAAAGCUAAAACAACAGCUGCCAAGAAAGGGCCUGUGGAAAAGGACCAAAUAACUCCUACAAAGAAAGAGCCUGCAAUCUCCAAAGAAAAAGCCAAGACAAGCACUACCAAGACAACCACAAGCACUUCCAAAAAAGAGCCUGUGGGAAAGGGCAAAAUAACUCCUACGAAGAAAGAGCCUGCAAUCUCCAAAGAAAAAGUGAAGACAAACACUACCAAGACAACCACAAGCACUUCCAAGAAAGUUGUUUCAGAACCUGAGCCCCUAAAAGAGAAAGCCACUCCGAGAGUCCCCACUAUGAGGAAAGGGAACCACACAAAUGUAGUGGUGCCAAUGGUAAAAGCCAUGGCUAGAGUUGUCGCUAUGAGACCCAUCCCUACAACCAAAGUGACGGAGGAGAAGCUAUCCAAAGAACCUGAGACAGAAGACAAGGUAAAGGAUGUGAAGACAUCAGAUGCCAAAGCUGAAACCACACUCUCUGUGAAGACAGCCCAGCCCACUCAACCACAUAAAGCUGAGAAGACUGAGAAGAAAGCUGUGAAGGAGGCUAAAGAGAAAGAAGUGAAGCCUCCUGGUAUAGCAAAAGAAUCUCAGACUGACGAUAAUGCCAUGGACAAGAAGAAGCCAGGUCAGAAAGUAUUGCAGUGUGUUUUAAUGGUUGGAAAGAAUGCCCACUACCCUUUGCGACCUUCCACCCCUGGUAUGACCCCUGUGUCGAUGAGCCCAGCCAUGCGGUCCAUGAUGUUGCAGCAGGCGCAGCAGCAGAAAGCCAGAGCGGCGGGGCAGUAG